CCGACCGGAGACGGAAGGAGUGCUUUUAUUAGAUCAAAACCAAUCGGUGGCGGGUUCGCUCGUUAUCGUACAACUUGGUGACUCUGAAUAACUUUACGCUGAUCGCACGGUCAUCGCACCGGCGACGCAUCUUUCAAAUGUCUGCCUUAUCAACUGUCGAUGGUAGGUUCUGCGCCUACCAUGGUUGUAACGGGUAACGGGGAAUCAGGGUUCGAUUCCGGAGAGGGAGCCUGAGAAACGGCUACCACAUCCAAGGAAGGCAGCAGGCGCGCAAAUUACCCACUCCCGGCACGGGGAGGUAGUGACRAAAAAUAACGAUACGGGACUCAUCCGAGGCCCCGUAAUCGGAAUGAGUACACUCUAAACCCUUUAACGAGGAUCAAUUGGAGGGCAAGUCUGGUGCCAGCAGCCGCGG
rnacentral:rRNA from 1 species